rnacentral:rRNA from 1 species
GACGGGGCCCGCACAAGCGGUGGAGUAUGUGGUUUAAUCGAUGCAACGCGAAGAACCUUACCUGGUCUUGACAUCCCGGAGACCCUUAGGAACUAGGGGUGCUUCCAUCUGGAAGAAUCUGGAGACAGGUGCUGCAUGGCUGUCGUCAGCUCGUGUCGUGAGAUGUUGGGUUAAGUCCCGCAACGAGCGCAACCCUUGCCUUUAGUUGCCAGCAGUUCGGCUGGGCACUCUAAAGGGACUGCCGGUGUUAAACCGGAGGAAGGUGGGGAUGACGUCAAGUCCUCAUGGCCUUUAUGACCAGGGCUACACACGUACUACAAUGGCCGAUACAAAGGGCAGCGACACUGCGAGGUGAAGCCAAUCCCGUAAAAUCGGUCUCAGUCCGGAUUGGAGUCUGCAACUCGACUCCAUGAAGUUGGAAUCGCUAGUAAUCGUGGAUCAGCAUGCCACGGUGAAUACGUUCCCGGGCCUU